rnacentral:rRNA from 1 species
GAUGAACGCUGGCGGCGUGCCUAAUACAUGCAAGUCGAGCGAACAGACGAGGAGCUUGCUCCUCUGACGUUAGCGGCGGACGGGUGAGUAACACGUGGAUAACCUACCUAUAAGACUGGGAUAACUUCGGGAAACCGGAGCUAAUACCGGAUAAUAUAUUGAACCGCAUGGUUCAAUAGUGAAAGACGGUUUUGCGGUCACUAAUAGAUGGAUCCGCGCCGCAUUAGCUAGUUGGUAAGGUAACGGCUUACCAAGGCAACGAUGCGUAGCCGACCUGAAGGGGUGAUCGGCCACACUGGAACUGAGACACGGUCCAGACUCCUACGGGAGGCCGCAGUCGGGAAUCUUACGCAAUGGGCGAAAGCCUGACGGAGCAACGCCGCGUGAGUGAUGAAGGUCUUCGGAUCGUAAAACUCUGUUAUUAGGGAAGAACAAAUGUGUAAGUACCUAUGCACGUCUUGACGGUACCGAAUCAGAAAGCCACGGCUAACUACGUG